rnacentral:tRNA from 1 species
AAGAAUAUUAUGUUAAUUUGAAAUUAAUAAUCAACCUUAUGGUUAAUUCUUA